rnacentral:rRNA from 1 species
GACGAACGCUGGCGGCGUGCUUAAUACAUGCAAGUCGAACGGAAAGGCCCUGCUCUUGUGGGGUGCUCGAGUGGCGCACGGGUGAGUAACACGUGAGUAACCUGUCCUUGACUUUGGGAUAACUCUAGGGAACUGGGGCUAUUACCGGAUAGGAGCUACUGAUGCAUGGUGGGGGUUGGAAAGUUUCGGCGGUUGGGGAUGGACUCGCGGCUUAUCAGCUUGUUGGUGGAGUAGUGGCUUACCAAGUCUUAGACGGAUAGCCGGCCUGAGAGGGUAACCGGCCUCAAGGCGACUGAGAGACGGCCCAGACGCCUACGGGAGGCAGCAGGGGAGAGUAUUACGCAAUGGGCGGAAGCCAGAUACAGCAGCGCCGGGUGCGGGAAGACGGCCUUCUGGUUGUAAACCACUUUCGACGUUGACAAAGAGUGAGUGACGGUAAUGAGUAAGAAAGCACCGGCUAACUACGUG